AUUGAACGCUGGCGGCAUGCCUUACACAUGCAGGUCGAACGGUAACAGGUCUUCGGAUGCUGACGAGUGGCGAACGGGUGAGUAAUACAUCGGAACGUGCCCGAUCGUGGGGGAUAACGAGGCGAAAGCUUUGCUAAUACCGCAUACGAUCUACGGAUGAAAGCGGGGGAUCUUCGGACCUCGCGCGGCCGGAGCGGCCGAUGGCAGAUUAGGUAGUUGGUGGGAUAAAAGCUUACCAAGCCGACGAUCUGUAGCUGGUCUGAGAGGAUGAUCAGCCACACUGGGACUGAGACACGGCCCAGACUCCUACGGGAGGCAGCAGUGGGGAAUUUUGGACAAUGGGCGAAAGCCUGAUCCAGCCAUGCCGCGUGCAGGAUGAAGGCCUUCGGGUUGUAAACUGCUUUUGUACGGAACGAAAAGCCUCUUUCUAAUAAAGAGGGGUCAUGACGGUACCGUAAGAAUAAGCACCGGCUAACUACGUG
rnacentral:rRNA from 1 species